rnacentral:lncRNA from 1 species
AGACAAGGUCUUGCUCUAUUAUCACUGGAGUACAAUGGCGUGAAUGUGGCUCACUGCAGUCUCGACCUUCCUGGCUCAAGGGAUGCUCCCACCUCAGCCUCCCAAAUAGCUGGGACUAUAGACACAUGUCACCACAUCUGGCUAAUUUUUUAUUUUUUGUAGAGAUGAGAUUUCACCAUAUUACCCAGGCUGUUCUUGAACUCCUAGGCUCAAGUGAUUUGUCUGCCUCAGCCUCCCAAAGUGUUAGGAUUACAGGUGUGAGCCACUGCACCCGGCUGCCUUUUCACUCCUAAUUGUAUCCUCUGUUGCACAGAAAUUUUUAAGUUUGAUGUAGUCCCAUAUGUCUCCUUUUUUUUCCCCAUGCUUUUUAUGAUUUCUAGCAUCUUUUUGUGGGCUUAUUGUGCUUGUAUAUCUUCUUUGGAGAAAUGUCUGUUCAAUUCCUUUGCCCUUUUUUGAAUGGGGUUGUUUGGUUUUUCUGUUGUGGAAUAUUUAAAUUUCUCUAUGUAUCCUCAAUGUUAAGCCAUACUAGAGAUAUGCUUUUCAAAUAUUUUCCCCCAUUCUGUGCAUCACCUUUUUUACUCUGCUGAAAGUGCUGUUUGAUGCAAAAAAGUGUUUAAUUUUCAUGAGGUCCAAUAUAUCUAUUUUUUCUUUUGUUGCCUGUGCCUUGGGUGUUAUAUUCAAGAAAUCAUUGACAAAUCCAAUGAUAUGCUCUUCUACACUCUUAAAAAUUAUAGACAACCCCAAAUAACUUUUAUUUAGUGGUUUUAACAAUAUUUACCAUGUCUGAAAUAUGAUAAACAUUAAAAUUAGUAUUUUGGAAAAAUGCCAUAUUAGAAACUGAUGAUUUAAAAGUAACAACAAUGAAUCCAUUACAUGUGAACAUACUGUUUUUUUGUUUGUUUGUUUGUUUGUUUUGAGACGGAGUUUCACUCUUUUGCCCAGGCUGGAGUGCAGUGGUGCGAUUGCAGCUCACUGUAGUCUUCGCCUCCCAGGCUCAAGUGAUUCUCAUGCCUCAGCCUCCUGAGUAGCUGGGAUUACAGGUGCUCACCACCACACCCGGCUAAUUUUUGUAGAGAUGGGGUUUCACCGUAUUGGCCAGGCUGGUCUUGAACUCCAGACUUCAAGUGAUCCACCCACCUUGGCCUCCCAAAGUGCUGGGAUUACGGGCAUGAGCCACUGCACCAGGCCAACAUACUUUUUAUAAAAACAGCUGUCUUCUCUAAAACAACAAAAAAAUGUAGAUAAUAGUAGUAUCAUUUUAUAGUUUUGCAACUCUCUUUAAUGUUUGGCUUAAUAGAAGAUAGUUGGAUUCUCGUAUCUGUUUUUGUAUUCAGUCUGUUGUGUAUGUUGUUUUGAUUGAAGUAGAUGAAGGAAAUCCAGCUACAUACAGAUUUGGAGUUGGAAAAAAUAGUAUUUUAAUAACCUUUUUAGAUCAUGGUGGAUACUCUUCUUUGUUAUGUCAUCAAAAUUAGACAAAUGGCAGUUUCUGAAAAAUUAGUUGUAAUGUGUGUAAAAAAUUAGUUGAAUCCAUAUCAGUGAACUCAUACUUUUCUAUAUUAAACUUCAUUGCUCUAUCUUGCACUUUGAAUGGGUCUUUUAUUCAUGCCUGAUUUUGUAACAUCAUGCAUUCGUCAUUUUGAAAAUGAUGGUUCAGUGAAUUAUUCACAUCUUCUAAAUGUAGGCACAUUUCAGUCUAUAAUAUCAAAAACAUAUUUGUCAGUGUUACCACUGAUUUCAUCAGAAAAGUCUUGAGGUGUUAAGAAGUCUUUAGGUAUCUACCAGCAUGGAUACACAUUUUCCAAAAUUUUAAAUCUUCACUUGACAGCUCAAAUUUUACAGUUGGCAACAAAUACUGUCAGUUGUUUUCUAUGAGGUGACAGGUUCACUUAAUUCAUUUUUGAGAAAAUGUUUGCCAAAUACCCAAGUCUGAAUAAUCAUAGUUUGUUAGUCAUUUUUUUCCUAAUAAAAAUGAUGUUCUAUGAAAAAGCAAGUAGUCAGCUUGUAAUUCAAACAAUCAGGUAAGUGCUUCCAGUACUUAGGUAUUCAGCAGAAGUGCUUUGUGUACAGAGUAUUAAUAAGACAUGUAUUCAAGGGAUAAGUUUUAAUAAAAUUAAUAAUUAUUACUCUAUCAUGGACAUUUUUACAUUAAGUUUGCCUUUCUGUUGAACUGCAAGUACAUGGGGGUGAAGACUGUGACUCCUGGUGCAGUUUGGUGCCUCUUCAUUGACUUAAGGCUCUAGAAGGCACCAAAUACUGUUGCUUUUGCAUCAUCAGUGCAAAUGUCCGCAAAGUGAAUGCUGCAGAAAAACUCUUGGUAUUAUUAUAAAAAUGAUGUUGACCUUGGCCGGGCGCGGUGGCUCACGCCUGUAAUCCCAGCACUUUGGGAGGCCGAGGUGGGCGGAUCAUGAGGUUGGGAGAUUGAGACCAUUCUGGCGAACACGGUAAAACCCUGUCUCUACUAAAAAUACAAAAAAUUAGCCGGGCGUGGUGGCGGGUGCCUGUAGUCCCAGCUACUCGGGAGGCUGAGGCAGGAGCAUGGCAUGAACCCGGGAGGCGGAGCUUGCAGUGAGCCGAGAUUGCACUACUGCACUCCACCCUGGGCCACAGAGCGAGACUCAUCUCAAAAAAAAAAAAAAAUGAUGUUGAUCUCUUGGAUCCCCCGGGAAGGGUCUUGGGGACCCAGGAGUCCAGGGAUCAUAAUUUGAGAGCCAUGGCCUAUACGACCAUGGGUACUAAUAGCACAUGCCUCCAGCACCCUCCAUCAGCCUCCCUCGGCCUCAUUUUCCUCAGUUGUAAAGGGAGGCCUGGGCAGGCUCUGUUUCUUCACACUGUUGGACCCUGUUUGCUAGCCCCCGAAGCUGCUUCUCCCUUAGCGGUGAUGCUGCUUUCAGCUCCUGCUUUUCCUCCCUCUCUCAUGCCUCCCUUUCUCUCCGUGGCUCCUCUUCCCCUCACUCUUUACAGGUUGGCAUUCUUCUUGUUUCGUCUCCUCCUCCUUUCCCUGGAUGAUCUUAUUUCCUCCCUGGUCUUUAACCAUCACCUGCAGGCUGACAGCUCCCAAAUCUCUAUCUUCAAUCCAGAUGUCUGUCCCGGGCUCCAGUUUUGUGGUUCCACCUGAGACCUUUCCACCUAUAUGCUUUACAGGCAAGUCAAAGUCAGCAUGUCUAAACUGGUUUCUUCGUCUUCCCCUACACAUUGCUUCCUCUUCCAGAAUAGACAGUCUUGGUUAAUCCAUCAUCUGCUCAAAUGCUUAAGCCAGAAUCCCAGGAGUCCUCCUCCCCUUAUCUGGCUCCCUCCCUUCCCUCAUCUGCUCACCUGGCCUAUCAGUUCUGCCUCCUAAACAUUUUCCCAAUCUCUCCCUGCUCUCCAGCCCCACCACCACUGCCUCAGCUCAGGCGCUCAUCCCUUCUCACCUAAACGAUUGCAAGGGUCUUCUCCCUGGCCCCCUGCCCCCUGUUUUCAACCUGUACUCUACAGUUCUGGUUGGAAACCACAAGAGUUAUCUUCUCACACUUUUUUUUUUUAACUUUUAAUUUAGGUUCAGGGGUACAUGUGCAAGUUUGUUAUAUAGUUAAACUCGUGUCACAGGGGUUUGUUGUACAGAUUAUUUCAUCACUCAGGUACUAAGCCUAGUACCCAAGAGUUAUUUUUUUUGCUCCUUUCCCUUUUCCCACACCCCCCACCCUCCACCCUCAAGGAGGUCCCAGUGUGUAUUGCUCCCCUCUGUGUUCAUGAGUUCUCAUCAUUUAGCUCCCACUUGUAAGUGAGAACAUGUGGUAGUUGGUUUUCUGUUCCUGCAUUAGUUUGCUAAGGAUAAUGUGUUUUUCAUUAAGUAAAUACAUAUCGAGUACUUACCAUACCAGGCUCUGUGCAGGCUGUGGGAAUACAACAUAGGACAUAACAGAUACUGUCCUGACCUCCAGCACUCACAGCAUAUGAAGGAGGAGAGAAAAGGACAGGGCACAGGUCAUUAGGACCCAGUGCAGUGGGGAAAGAUGGCAGAGGUGCUUGGGAACCCCUAGAAGUUUUGACUGAGGGCUGAGUCUGAGGGUGUUCAGGGAGCACUUCCUGGAGGAAGCAGCUCUCAUGUUCAGACUGCAGCCUGGGUGGGAGUUAACUAAAAGAGAUGGGAGUGUUGUGGUGAAAAACGUUACUGGAAAGUUUGAUCAUUUAAUUUCCCUGUUAAAUACUUCUCUUGUGAGCUUCACCACUGCCUGCAGGAUCAAGUCCAAAUUCCUUAUCAUGAAACACAACCUUUGUGGCCUCGUUGUCUGCCACUCCCCUGUAUUCAUUGUCAUCAGCUUGAACUGCUUUCAGUUCCCCCCAACGCUGCUUGCUCACUCUCUCAGCUCCAGGCCUUUGCACAUGCAGUUCCUUGUGCCCUCCACCCUUGCCACGCAAAUCCCUACUGCCUAUCAGCCAACUAGACAGAUGUGGCCUGCAUUGUCCCCCUGGAGGCAAAGGAUGUGUGGGUAUUUAUUUAUUUAAGAUAGUAAGUUAUGGCCAGGUGUGGUGGCUCACGCCUGUAAUCCCAGCACUUUGGGAGGCCGAGGCGGGUGGAUCACCUGAAGCCAGGAGUUUGAGACCAGCCUGGCCAACAUGGUAAACCCUGCCUCCACUAAAAAAUACAAAAAUUAGCUGGGCAUGGUGGUGCAUGCCUGUAAUCCCAGCUA